UUCUUAUAUUUAGGAAAGAAUACACGUAUCAAAUCAAACGCUUAAAUCUCUGGAUAUGAAUGAGUUUUGUUUACCAUAUUUUAUGACCCAAAAUUGACUUUUAAUUCGUAAAUGUUUGGGUUUUCACAUCUAUCUCCUUCUUAAACGACGUCGUCCAGGUGAAAAAGAGUCAUCUUCGCAAAUAUACGUCAAAACUAGAAAGCUGAGUCCUCUGCCUCCACCGCCGUCUGAAGUCACUGUCACCGCCACAAUGCCGUCGCGGUAGUCGACGUCAAACCCUCUCCAUAAAGUUCUGUCCUUCUUCAGAUUUGGGAUUUGAAAGAGAAGUCUGAUGGCAUCAUUAGAAGUGAAAUCUGGGGCAUUAGUUUCCUUACAAGAUCUGCGCCCAUCGUCUCCUUUUUUCAAACAAGGAACGUCACUCAGAAUAAUUGGAAAGUUACAUGAGUACUCUUUUGAGACAGGCCUAGCAACAGUUAUUGACGGUAAUGACAUUCUAAAAGUUAAUACUGAGCAUUUGAGGGACCUUAGUUUUCAAGUUGGCUCUGUCUACCAAUUCAUCGGUGAACUCCUUAUCCAACCUGAUAACGAGGGAGUUUUGCAUGCCCGUGUUGGUAGAAAUGUCGACGGGAUUGAUCUCAAUCUUUAUCAUCAAUCUUUGCUGCUUUUGAGACAGUUUCAAGCCAAUCAUUUGAAUAAUUCAGCAACUUAACUUUGGAGGAUUAUUUUUGUAGACCAGAAGGCAUGAUCAUAUUUUCCAUCAAAAUAUAAAAGGUCCACUGAUUUAUGUCAUAGCUGUAGUGGUUGGAAAAGGUACAGAACAACAACUUAACAUACAAAGUUUCUCUUUCUCACAUUAUUGUCUACCACUCAUUCAGAAAUAUGGAGGUAGAAUUAUAAUUUUCAUUGACAAGCAAUGAAUUAUGUUUUUGACGAUGCAUUUUAAGCCUGUAAUGAUGGAAUAUUUGUUGGUUUUCAUGUCCCACUCAUUACUCCACAUGUUUAUUUGAUUUUGAUCUUCAUUAAGCACGCUAGUGACAUUUUAUACAUAAAUUCUUGGUGCUAGUGGAGCAGUAUAAAUACUCCACUUUAAACAUAAAAUUAAGAGUGUGUUUGGGAGUUUGGAGGGGGAAUGAGAGGAAGAUAAGGACUUUGAAAAAAGAGAAGGAUUGAGUGAAAAUAAUUGAAUGAUUUUGGUUGGGAGGAUAUGCUUUUAUUCAAAACAUUAAAAACUCCAUAAUUUGGUAGAACUCAAAGUUUGUAUUGAAUGAUUGUUUUGGAGGACUUCCACUACUUUUCUAAAUACCUUUUGGGUCUGUUUGGUAUAAAUAACGGUUGACUGAUAAGCUAGCUGAUAGCUUAUAGCUUAUGACUGAUGACUGAUGACUUAUAGCUUAUAGCGGAUGAUUGAGACUGAUAGCUUGUAAGCUAAUUAAAGUGUUUGGUAAAAUUAGCGGUUCAAUUAAUUUAUAAAUGUAAAAUGUCAUAAAAGAUAAUUAAUAUAUAAUUAUUUAUUUUAAAUUAAAAUAAAUUAUAAGUGUUAAAAAUGGAUUUUAAUUAAAAUAAUAAGGAUAAAAAAGGAAGAAAAAAUAAUAAGCUAUAAGACAUAAGCUAAAACGUUAAUUGAGAUAGCGUCUAGAAAAUAAGCUAUAAGCUAGGAAA